AAGAGAAACCUAUAUUCAGCUGCAGCAGUGCCCUUGCAGAGAAGUGAUUUUCAAUGGGCUCACUUAACACUAUUUUAAUUGUUUUAAAAUGUUUCUAUGGGCUUUUGGAGGUCAGAAGCUGCUAAGUACUGAAGUCUUCCCCAGGGCUGUAGUCUGCGGGUUGGACAAAGGAAACCUGGAGAUUGUGAAAGGGAGCCUGGGAUGAACAGAAAUGAGGUGAGCAGUGGGUGGUCCCAGAACUGAAUGGCUACGAGUUCAAGUCCCUCUCUGCAUAAGAUGGGGUGAUCAGUUAAUGUCUCUUUCAAACACAGGGACUUCUGGAAGCUCAUCUAGGACUAUGACUGGACACUCCUGAAAAGUUAUGUCUAUAGAGACCGAUGGACCAGUGAUUAGAAUUUCAGUACAGUAGGGAGACUGGAAUGUUUCUGGGCCAGAGGCUAACUACCUUCUGUUGGGCUAGUUCUAGCCCUCUGGAGCAGUCAUUCCUUGCUGAUCUCUGCAAGGCCUUUAACAUAAUAGAUUAAAAACCUUUGCAGACUCACAGUCUUCGGUCAGUCCCAAAGCUAAGAAUGUCAUCCGAUAGCAUCUUGGGUGUAUAGAAAAGUCUCCCCCAUCUUGCUGUAACCACCUCUCUGAUGUAACCACCAAUAUAGUUUAAACUUGCCUUGA